rnacentral:rRNA from 1 species
GAUGAACGCUGGCGGCGUGCAUAAGACAUGCAAGUCGAACGGACGAGCGGGCUUGCUCGGGCCUUAGUGGCGGGCGGAAGAGUAGCGCGUAGGGGACCUACCCCGCAGUGUGGAAUUACUUCCCGAAAUGGUAGCUAAUACCGCACGGGGUGUGACGUUUGUUCCGCCUAGUACAGCCGCAAGGCGCUUCGGGAGGGGCCUGCGUCGUGUUAGCUCGUAGGUGGGGUUAUGGGUUACCAAGGAGAGGAUCGGUAGGUGGUCUGAGAGGACGAUCCCCCCGACUGGGACUGAGGCGCGGGCCGGACUCGUUAGGGCGGAAGCAGUCGGGACUUUUGCUAGAUGGGGGGAGCCAUGAAGCAGCAACGUCGCGUGAGGGAUGAAGGCCUUCGGGUUGUAAGCCUCUUUUGUCAGGGACGAUGAUGACGGUACCUGGCUAAUAAGCCACGGCUAACUACGUG